rnacentral:misc_RNA from 1 species
CGAAAUGCGAUAAGUAAUGUGGAUUGCAGAAUUCAGUGAAUCAUCGAAUCUUUGAACGCACCUUGCGCUCCUUGGUAUUCCUUGGAGCAUGCCUGUUUGAGUAUCAUGAAAUCUUCAAAGUAAAUCUUUUGUUAACUCAAUUGGUUUCUACUUUGGUAUUGGAGGUCUUUGCAGCUUCACACCUGCUCCUCUUUGUUCAUUAGCUGGAUCUCAGUGUUAUGCUUGGUUCCACUCGGCGUGAUAAGUUAUCUAUCGCUGAGGACACUGUAAAAGGUGGCCAAGGUAAAUGCAGAUGAACCGCUUCUAAUAGUCCAUUGACUUGGACAAUACUUUUAUGAUCUGAUCUCAAAUCAGGUAGGACUACCCGCUGAACUUAAGC